UGACAAAGUACACGGGGGAGAGGGGGCGCGGGGGCGGUGGCCGGCGGGCUGCGCGGCUUCUCUCAGCCAAGCGAGCGUUCGGGACCGAGCCAGAAGCGCGCCUGGGGACUCGAGGAGGGGGAGUCUGGGAAAGGAUUCUAAAUGUAUGUGUUUCAUGACAACCAAGGCUACAAAGACGAGAAGACUUCCUGCCAUUAAGAAGCCUCAUCUUGGGUCCAAAGAGAGGGAGGAAGGAACUUAUUUUAAGGAACUGCGGAAGCCAAAAAGUCUAGAACCAUCUCCCCGACCGCAGCAGCUGAAGUACAGGCCCGGGUCCCGGGCAUGGCCAGCGACCCUCUCACUCAGAGCUUUCUGAAUUGGGAGGAUGUGAUGCAGGAAGCAGAGACAGCGGGGAAUCGGUUCAGCCACUAAGGGGGCAGAGGCAUCCGGUGUCCAUGGCCGGCAGUGGUAGAGUUCCAGCCAGCAGACUACUCUGAGGUGUGAUUUUGGCUGUGCUCUUCCUUGUGUAGCCUCUCCGGGUUCCAGCCCAUUUUCCACAUCUGGCUCUUCAGCCCUCCUGGCAAUUCGCUGUCGAAUUGAUGCUUGCGAUUCAGAUCCGGUUAAGCUCCAGUUGUCCAUUAUCCUGGCCAAAUAGGACAGAACCCCUAUAGAGAUGAAUUUUUCACCGCCAAGAGAAGGGGCUGGGUCCCCGACACUUCAAACUUCCUCCUGCAAACAGAGAUGGCAGCGUGUAGGACUGUGUGGGACCAGAUCAGGACUCCCAGGAAGCCACCGCUGGAAUUGUGUAUGAUGGGGAGAAAGUGGGGACUAACAGGCUGCUCCGCCAAAGCUGUACCCUUUAGAACAGAAUUAGGACAUGGAGAAAAGAGAAGUGAACCACCGCAAGGAGACAUGCUGGUAGCUGGUAGCAACCACAGAGUUAUAAAUAUAAUGCAGCUGAAUCCUCUCUAAAACAUGAUUUCAUUGCAGGCACAUAGGCAUGCAUGCACAUGAAUUCUGCUGAACGUAGGUCUUUUUAAAGCACACAGAUAAUAUCCCAUUUCUCCUUCUCCUCUCUGAUCUCAACUUCCAGGAGGAAUCUAUGAGAUGUGAUUUUAAAACAGAUACCAUGCUUCUUAUCAAGGUUUUGCUCAUCUUUCCUUCCCUUGUACUACCUUUUCAGGUUGUUAUCUUCUCCAUCCCCUAUAUCUUCAAAACCACCUUCAAUGAAUUAUGAUUUUUAAAAAAAAUCUAAUCUACUGUAGAGCAUAGGGAACUAUAUUCAAUAUCUUAUAAUAACCUACAUGGAAAAGAAUCUGAAAAAAUAUAUAUGUGGAGAUAUAUAUAUAUAAUAUAUAUAUAACUGAAACACUUUACUGUACACCCAAAACAUUGUAAAUCAACUAUAUUUCAAUACAAAAAAAAAUCUAAAGUGAGAAACUAAAAAUAAA